UCUCGUCAGGAUUGCUUCACAGUGCUACAGCAAUGACCAUCAAACGCACUCUCCAUACAGGCCAGGCACAGUGAGGACAAUGGCUAUACUGCCUAAUGUUUACUGGGCAGAUGGUCAGCUCUGUGAGAGAGAUGGUGUGGGGAUGAGAAUCUGAAAGAGAGCCUGCGUGAAAUGAAUCAACGGAGAUGGAGGAGAGGCGCACUGCUUAUUUCACCUGCAGCAAGCCUCGCUAUAGUUACAGCCUCCUAACUCCAUGCACACAGAGAAGGGAUGAUUUGUGGGGGAAGAAAAAGGCAAGAGAAGAAAAGAAAAGUCGAAGAGCAAGGGGCAGGCAUCGUGUGGGGGAGAAGAGAAAUGAUUCUGUGCAACGAGUUCGG